AUUGAACGCUGGCGGCAGGCCUAACACAUGCAAGUCGGACGAGCGGCGGACGGGUGAGUAAUGGAUGGGGAUCUGCCUGAAGGAGGGGGAUAACAACUGGAAACGGUAGAUAAAAACGCAUACCAUCAGAUGAACCAAGAUGGGAUUAGCUAGGAGGUGGGGUAACGGCUCACCUAGGCGACGAUCCCGAGCUGGUCUGAGAUGUUGAUCAGCCACACUGGGACUGAGACACGGCCCAGACUCCUACGGGAGGCAGCAGUGGGGAAUAUUGCACAAUGGGCGCAAGCCUGAUGCAGCCAUGCCGCGUGUAUGAAGAAGGCCUUCGGGUUGUAAAGUACUUUCAGUCGGGAGGCGUUACCGACAGAAGAAGCACCGGCUAACUCCGUGCCAGCAGCCGCGGUAAUAC
rnacentral:rRNA from 1 species